rnacentral:rRNA from 1 species
UACGUAGGGGGCAAGCGUUGUCCGGAUUUAUUGGGCGUAAAGAGCUCGUAGGCGGUUCGAUAAGUCGGGUGUGAAAUCUCCAGGCUCAACCUGGAGGCGCCACCCGAUACUGUCGUGACUUGAGUUCGGUAGAGGAGUAUGGAAUUCCCGGUGUAGCGGUGAAAUGCGCAGAUAUCGGGAGGAACACCAAUGGCGAAGGCAGCUCGCUGGGACGGUACUGACGCUGAGACGCGAAAGCGUGGGGAGCAAACAGG